rnacentral:rRNA from 1 species
GCUUACACAUGCAAGUCGUACGAGAAAUCUUCUGCUUGCAGAAGAGAGUAAAGUGGCGCACGGGUGAGUAACGCGUGGGUAAUCUACCUUCGAAUCGGGGAUAACUUUGCGAAAGCGAUGCUAAUACCGGAUAACAUCCCUAAAGCUUCGGCUUUUAGGAUCAAAGAUGGCCUCUAUGUAUAAGCUAUUGUUUGAAGAUGAGCCCGCGUACCAUUAGCUUGUUGGUAGGGUAACGGCCUACCAAGGCUGCGAUGGUUAGCUGGUCUGAGAGGAUGAUCAGCCACACUGGAACUGACACACGGUCCAGACAGCUACGGUUGGCAGCAGUGAGGAAUUUUGCCCAAUGGGGGAAACCCUGAGGCAGCAACGCCGCGUGAGUGAUGAAGGCCUUCGGGUCGUAAAGCUCUGUCAAGUGGGAAGAACCUGCAAGAUGCCAAUAGCAUCUUGCACUGACGGUACCACUGAAGGAAGCACCGGCUAACUCCGUGCCAGCAGCCGCGGUAAUACGGGGGGUGCAAGCGUUAUUCGGAAUUAUUGGGCGUAAAGGGCGCGUAGGCGGCCUCUUAAGUCGCAUGUGAAAGCCCGGGGCUUAACCCCGGAAGUGCAUGCGAAACUAAGGGGCUUGAGUAUGGGAGAGGGAAGUGGAAUUCCUGGUGUAGAGGUGAAAUUCGUAGAUAUCAGGGGGAACACCGGUGGCGAAGGCGACUUCCUGGACCAAUACUGACACUGAGCGCGAAGGCGUGGGGAGCAAACAGGAUUAGAUACCCUGGUAGUCCACGCAGUAAACGUUGAACACUAGUGUAGCGGGUAUUGACCCCUGCUGUGCCGCAGUUACGCAGUAAGUGUUCCGCCUGGGGAGUACGUCGCAGAUUAAACUCAAGAAUUGACGGGGGCUGCACGAGCGUGGAGCAUGUGUUAUCGACGCACGCGAGAUCUUACUGACUGACAUCCG